ACUCCGGUGGAUAGAGAUGGGCACGCGCAAGAUUAGAUAGUUGGUGAGGUAACGGCUCACCAAGUCUACGAUCUUUAGGGGGCCUGAGAGGGUGAUCCCCCACACUGGUACUGAGACACGGACCAGACUCCUACGGGAGGCAGCAGUGAGGAAUAUUGGACAAUGGGUGAGAGCCUGAUCCAGCCAUCCCGCGUGAAGGACGACGGCCCUAUGGGUUGUAAACUUCUUUUGUAUAGGGAUAAACCUACCCUCGUGAGGGUAGCUGAAGGUACUAUACGAAUAAGCACCGGCUAACUCCGUGCCAGCAGCCGCGGUAAUACGGAGGGUGCAAGCGUUAUCCGGAUUUAUUGGGUUUAAAGGGUCCGUAGGCGGAUCUGUAAGUCAGUGGUGAAAUCUCACAGCUUAACUGUGAAACUGCCAUUGAUACUGCAGGUCUUGAGUGUUGUUGAAGUAGCUGGAAUAAGUAGUGUAGCGGUGAAAUGCAUAGAUAUUACUUAGAACACCAAUUG
rnacentral:rRNA from 1 species